UGUGACCUCAAAUCAGGUAGG
rnacentral:rRNA from 10 species